CUGGAGUCGAGGUGCUGCAUGGCUGUCGUCAGCUUGUGUCGUGAGAUGUUGCGUUAAGUCCCGCAACGAGCGCAACCCUUGUCCUGUGUUGGCAUGCCGCAAGGCGCAACUCUCAGGAGACCGCCAGCGAUAAGUUGGAGGAAGGUGGGGAUGACGUCAAGUCAUCAUGGCCUUUAUGUCCAGGGCCACACACGUGCUACAAUGGACGGUACAAAGCGCUGCCAACCCGCGAGGGGGAGCUAAUCGCCAAAAACCGUCCUCAGUUCGGAUCGCAGGCUGCAACUCGCCUGCGUGAAGCUGGAAUCGCUAGUAAUGCUAUAUCAGAACGAUAGCGUGAAUACGUUCCCGGGCCUUGUACACACCGCCCGUCACAUCACGAAAGUGGGUUGUACUAGAAGUCUGCACGCCGACCCGCAAGGGGGGCAGCGGCCCAAGGUAUGACUCAUGAUUGGGGUGAAGUCGUAACAAG
rnacentral:rRNA from 1 species